GGGCUGUAGCUUAAUGGUAGAGCAUCUGCUUUGCAUGCAGAAGGUCCCAGGGUCAAUCCCCACCAGCAUCA